GACGAACGCUGGCGGCGCGCCUAAUACAUGCAAGUCGAGCGGACUUUCAAGAAGCUUGCUUUUUGAAAGUUAGCGGCGGACGGGUGAGUAACACGUGGGCAACCUGCCUGUAAGACGGGGAUAACUCCGGGAAACCGGGGUUAAUACCGGAUAAUAUCUUUCUUCGCAUGAAGGAAGGUUGAAAGGCGGCGCAAGCUGCCGCUUGCAGAUGGGCCCGCGGCGCAUUAGCUAGUUGGUGAGGUAACGGCUCACCAAGGCGACGAUGCGUAGCCGACCUGGGAGGGUGAUCGGCCACACUGGGACUGAGACACGGCCCAGACUCCUACGGGAGGCAGCAGUAGGGAAUCUUCCGCAAUGGACGAAAGUCUGACGGAGCAACGCCGCGUGAGCGAAGAAGGUCUUCGGAUCGUAAAGCUCUGUUGUCAGGGAAGAACAAGUACCGUUCGAAUAGGGCGGUACCUUGACGGUACCUGACCAGAAAGUCACGGCUAACUACGUGCCAGCCGCCGCCGUAA
rnacentral:rRNA from 1 species